UGAGUGGUUAGUCAGAAAACGUCUGUUUUUUUGUUUCCUGAGUGUAACUGUUUCUGUUGUCAGCAGGAUUAAAAGUCAAUAUGCCUGAAACAAAAAAGAAGAAAAAUGGUAAAGAUAAGAAGCCCACAUCGAGACUCGAUUUUAAACAAAAGGAAGAUGAACUGAGCUCAGUCAAAGUCAGGUUGACUGAGAUGGAGACAUGGUACAAAGGGAGGCUUGUUGAAGCAGAAGCUGCUCUGAAACAAAAGGAUAAUGAGCUGAACUCAGUCAAACAGAGAUUGACUGGAAUGGAAGAAAUG